GCAGGCUGCAACUCGCCUGCAUGAAGUUGGAAUUGCUAGUAAUCGCGAAUCAGAAUGUCGCGGUGAAUACGUUCCCGGGCCUUGUACACACCGCCCGUCACACCAUGAGAGCCGAUAACACCCGAAGCCUGUGAGCUAACCGUAAGGGGCAGCAGUCGAAGGUGGGGUCGGUGAUUGGGGUGAAGUCGUAACAAGGUAUC
rnacentral:rRNA from 1 species